CCUACGGGAGGCAGCAGUGAGGAAUAUUGGUCAAUGGGCGAGAGCCUGAACCAGCCAAGUCGCGUGAGGGAGUACUGCCCUAUGGGUUGUAAACCUCUUUUGUCGGGGAGCAAAAGCCGGACGUGUCCGGCUGUGAGAGUACCCGAAGAAAAAGCAUCGGCUAACUCCGUGCCAGCAGCCGCGGUAAUACGGAGGAUGCGAGCGUUAUCCGGAUUUAUUGGGUUUAAAGGGUGCGCAGGCGGAUUUGUAAGUCAGCGGUAAAAUCGUGGGGCUCAACCCCAUCCAGCCGUUGAAACUGGGGAUCUAGAGUGUGCGAGAGGUAUGCGGAAUGCGUGGUGUAGCGGUGAAAUGCAUAGAUAUCACGCAGAACCCCGAUUGCGAAGGCAGCAUACCGGUGCACAACUGACGCUCAGGCACGAAAGCGUGGGUAUCGAACAGGAUUAGAUACCCUUGUAGUC
rnacentral:rRNA from 1 species